UCUAAGGGACUUGCGUCGGUCCUAUCCUAGGCCGAAUAGGUGAAUAAAUACUUACGGACGGCCUUGGUCUGUCCUAGAGGUUAUCAACAUAUGAACUCUUAGAGAAAUUACUUAAUAAACGAAGUGAAUUGAAAUAUCUUAUUAACUUCAGGAAAAGAAAUCAAACGAGAUUCUAUGAUUAGUGUGAACGAAAAUAGAGCAGCCUAUUAAAAUAAGUAAAAUGGCUUUAAAGCUGUUUGAAUAUUGUGGGGAACCUUCCUCAAAGGCUAAAUAUAAUACAUGAGUUACAGAGAAAAGUACCGUGAGGGAAAGCUUUGAAAUAGUAGUUUUAUAAGCAGCUCAAGCAAUAAGAAAGCGAGAGCGUACCUUUUGCAUAAUGGGUCACCAAGUUAAUUUUAGAUGCGAGCGAAUUUAUUUAUGUUUUUACUGAUUAAACAAUAUAAUGAAUCAUAAUUAUUUUUGUAACGAGUAUUAGUAUUAAAUCUUAAUUUAAUAUUAGUAUAAGUUUUCAGUAUGGCGGCUACAUAGCAUAAUCUAUGCAGCCAGCCAAUAAUUGGAUUUCCAAUCCAAUUUCGGUAAUAAAUAGAUGUGCAUAGUUAAACCGAUCAUUAAAAUAAUGAAUAGUGUCUAAAGUUAGACCCGAAGCCUGGUGAUCUUACUAUAGUCAGGACUAUAAAGGUCCGAACGGGUUAUCGUUGCAAAGAUAUCCGAAGAACUAUGGUAAGCGAGUGAAAGACAACACUGACUAGGAUAGCUGGUUUUCUGCGAAACCUAUAAUAGUAGGCAAUUUAAGUAACAUCUUAGUAGGUACAGAACUUAAUCUCAGACAAGAUGUAGAUUUUCAUACCUAUGUUUAGGUAUGAAAUGCAUUUUUUUUUGUAUACAUCGGGGGAUCGUGAAGAUUUUAUCGGUGAGUAUGUAGACUCGGAAUGACAAAGAUGAAUCUUGAAUAAUCAGACAUAGAAUGAUAAGGUUGUAUGUCAAAAGGGAAACAGCCCAGAACAAGAGUUAAGGUUCCAAAAUUAUUAUUAAGUGAAAUAAAGAAAGUUUUUAUAUAAGUCGACAAGAAGAUGGGCUUGGAAGCAGCCAUAAUUUAAAGAUCUCGUAACAGAGCACUUGUUAAAUCUUAAAAGCAUCGAAAAUUUAACGGAUCUAAAUAAUAUACCGAAACCUUGUCCAUAUGUAACAUUAGUAAUAAUAUGCUAUUAAUGUUAUUUGAUGGGGUAGCAGAACGUUGAGUGAAUCUUAGAUUUUUUUUUUAUAACUAAAUAUAGAUGAUAACUCAAGUGAGAAUGGUGACAUGAGUAACAAAAAAGAGUUUAAGGUACCUAAAAGGUAUCUUAGAGUCUCGCCUAAAGCUUAUGGCUACGUCAAGUAACGGCCUCUAAGUUUAUAAUCUGAAGAUUAUGACGAUGAGAAAAUAACGCGCAGAAGUGCGCUGCUUUGAUACUUAUGGUACCAACAUUUAAAAGUGAAAAUUGUGCAGGAAGGAUCAGUAUCCUUUCAUUCUUAUGUGGGGGAGUGGACAAAACUGAACAGAGUGUAUCUGAACACAGAUGAGUCCACACCCCCCCCCAUGUAAUGAAUGAAUGACAAACCGUACCUAGAAUCUGAAACAAGUAAGCUAGUAGAGAAUACGAAGGCGUGAAUGAGAUAACAAUCAUAAAGGAACUCGGCAAACUAACUACCGUAACUUAGGGAUAAGGAGAGCUCAUUAGUCUCGAUUAAUACGAGUAAAAAGGAAGAAGCAUGGAAUAUUGUUGUACGACUGUUUAAUUAAAACAAAGCACUUUGCAAAAAGACGAUAAGUCUAAGUAUUGAGUGUGAUUUCUGCCCGAUGCCGGCUGGUUAACGAAUUUUCUAAAUUGAAAAAAAAUUUGGUUUCAGAGGAACCCCCGGUUAAUGGCGGCCUUAGCGUGAGGGUCCUAAGGUAGCGAAAUGCCUUGGCCGUUAAAUGCGGUCUUGCAUGAAUGAUGUAACGAUACAACAGCUGUCUCUAUGAUUGACUCAGUGAAAUUGGAAUAACUGUGCAGAUACAGUUUACCUCUAGUUAGACGAGAAGACCCUAUGCAGCUUUACUGUUACUAAUUAUUGAAUACGAUUCUGAAAAUUUCCAGUGUAAAAGGUAAUCGAUAAGAUAUAAUUGAAACACCUUUAUUUUUCUAUCGUAUUAUUAAACCUUAAAUUAAGGAACAAUUGUUAGAAGACAGUUUAUGCGGGGCACAGGCCCCAUAAAGAGUAAAUGGGUGUGUCUAAAAUUUAUAAAUUUAUGUUUGCAAUUUUUUAUAGUGAUUAUAUAUCAAAUCAUCUUUAUGCUAUUCAUAGAGUGUAUUUAUUAUAUUCCUUGGGUACAGUAUAAAAAUUAUAUAUGUAUUAAUUUACAUAUAUUUUUUCUAAGAAAUUAGGUAAGAUUUUGUUUAUAGAGAAAUUAGAUGUAAAAAAAAAAUCUUAUGAGGGCGGUAUUUAAUAAUCCGCUUCUAAUAUUUUUUUGUAGUUAUUAUUAUAAAUUUAAUAAUAAUCAUGUUUAUUACUUAAAAAGCUUAAUGGCUUAAUCUUGCCUUACUGUUUGAUUAACAACAAAUCUUACAGUCGCGUAAGCGGGGCAUAGGAUCACAAGAUACAAAAAGGAAAGAUCUUGGAUUUUUGGAAAAGCUACGCUAGGGAUGUUUGUCCUUCAAUAUUCUAUUUAAGGGUGCUCCAAAUGAGGCCUAAGGUGAAGCCUCAGCAAGCUCCACCCUUCGCAAUGUAGCCUUAAUAAUUUAGUGCUCCUGCAGUCCUUUUUUUUCCCCCGCAAGCUUGCGGGUAGCCUCCGGCUAAGCGAAGCUCGGCCCUACCACU
rnacentral:rRNA from 2 species